UGAACGCUAGCGGCAGGCUUAACACAUGCAAGUCGAGGGGCAGCGUGAUGAAGUAGCAAUACAGAUUCGACGGCGACCGGCGCACGGGUGCGUAACGCGUAUGUAACCUACCUUUAACAGGGGGAUAACACUGAGAAAUUGGUACUAAUACCCCGUAACAUCAGAGGAGGCAUCUUCUUUGGUUGAAAGUUCCGGCGGUUAUAGAUGGGCAUGCGUUGUAUUAGCUAGUUGGUGGGGUAAUGGCUCACCAAGGCGACGAUACAUAGGGGGACUGAGAGGUUAACCCCCCACAUUGGUACUGAGACACGGUCCAGACUCCUACGGGAGGCAGCAGUGAGGAAUAUUGGUCAAUGGUCUGACGACUGAACCAGCCAUGCCGCGUGAAGGUCACGGCCCUAUGGGUCUUAAACUUCUUUUGCGAGGGAGCAAUAAGGCGCACGUGUGCGUCGAUGAGAGUACCUCGCGAAUAAGCAUCGGCUAACUCCGUG
rnacentral:rRNA from 1 species